GGGGCAUUGGCGCAGUUGGUAGCGCGCAACGUUCGCAAUGUUGAGGUCAGGGGUUCGAAUCCCCUAUGCUCCACCG
rnacentral:tRNA from 5 species